ensembl:lncRNA
GUGGAGGCCGUGCACGUGUACCGCAUGCUGACGGAGGUCCGUGAUGUAGACCGCGGUCACAUGACCUUCUACUACGCUAUUGGCUGGGGCUUCCCCGCUGUCGUCACUGGGUUGGCUGUGGGUCUGGAUGCUCAGGGUUUCGGGAGCUCUGAGUUCUGCUGGCUGUCGGUGGACGACGCCCUCAUCUGGAGCCUGGCCGCGCCGGUCUGCACCCUGCUCCUGGUCGGCGUUGCAUCCCUCCUUCCUCCUCCUGCUCCUCCUCUCCUCCACCUGGCUCUGCGGGCUCAUGGCCGUCAACAGUGAUGUCAUUUCCUUCCACUUCCUCUUUGCAGUCUUCAGCUGCUUACAGGCGUCGUGUGUCUUCCUGUUCUUCUGUGUGUUACACCCGGAGGUGAGGAGCAGCUUCUCAGACAUCUGCCCCCGCAGAGAACCAGGAAGGAGCCAGGAGGCGCCCACACAACACUGACGCGCUCCCUGAACGUGAAACACUCGCUGGCAGACGAUGACGCCCUAGUCCGCACCAACAUCAGCGAGUCCAGCACCUCCCUGAACCGCUCCUCACGCGCCUCCGCCAGGACCAGCAGGGACGUGAAGCGAACGUCGUCGGGCUCGGCCAAGAUCGGUUACCAUGGAGACGGAGACUCCUCCCACUUUGGACUCAAGCGUUCCAAACGAGACGAGUCAGACUCGGAUAGCGACCUCUCAUUGGACGACGCCUCCUACGGCUCCUCAGAAAGUGACGAGGAGCGGCGGCGACGGAGACAGCAUCGCCAUGACAACGGGAGGGCUCCUGAGGCUAGCUCGCCAAAAGGUAAAACUGCGAGGCCAUUACGACCAUGCUAACUACAUGACACAUACAGCGCAGUUCAUAUCUGACGUGUUCAGUUACUCUGUACCCGGACAGAAAAGUCAAUACACGAUGCAACCUUCUAAAACAGGCAAGCUACGCACCAAUCAGAAGGAGCCUUACUGGCCAGUAGACCCGCCCACCGCCAGCGAGGGGGGAGGAGUCCAGCAGAGUGGAGACGCUGCGUGUUGAGACAAGGGUUGCCGUGGAGACAGGGAGAGUAUGGAAAGACUCGUCCCUGCCCAGCUCCCCUGACAACCAAUCGGAGAGGAGACGAGGCAUCCUGAAGAAGCAGACAGCGUACCCCCCUGAGGUGGCGGACAAGAACCUCAGGAACCUCCUCAGGGAGCGGCUCCACGACUCCCCCUCCCUCUCCAUCACCCCCCCCCCCCCCCCUCAGAGGCCUUCGCCUGGUCGCUGGGGGCAACCUCCUCCCUCAUCCCCCCCUGUCCCCACGGCAACGCCAUCCCAACGGGGUCUCCCCGGUUACCCCUAAGGAGCGGAACUCGGACUCAGA